CCUACGGGUGGCAGCAGUGAGGAAUAUUGGUCAAUGGACGAGAGUCUGAACCAGCCAAGUAGCGUGAAGGAUGACUGCCCUAUGGGUUGUAAACUUCUUUUAUAUGGGAAUAAAACGUUCCACGUGUGGCUUUUUGUAUGUACUUUAUGAAUAAGGAUCGGCUAACUCCGUGCCAGCAGCCGCGGUAAUACGGAGGAUCCGAGCGUUAUCCGGAUUUAUUGGGUUUAAAGGGAGCGUAGAUGGGUUGUUAAGUCAGUUGUGAAAGUUUGCGGCUCAACCGUAAAAUUGCAAUUGAUACUGGCAGUCUUGAGUACAGUUGAGGUAGGCGGAAUUCGUGGUGUAGCGGUGAAAUGCUUAGAUAUCACGAAGAACUCCGAUUGCGAAGGCAGCUUACUAAACUGCGACUGACAUUGAUGCUCGAAAGUGUGGGUAUCAAACAGGAUUAGAUACCCGGGUAGUC
rnacentral:rRNA from 1 species